CGGCGGGUUCUCCAGGGAGAAUGCGUCUCCAAGGACACUUACACCCGGAGAGUUCGCACACGCACUGGCAAAUGUUUAUAAAUGUCAAAGACAAUUGGUUUGAACUGUUUACCUGAAGAUGAUUGUCUCUAGGAACAAGGGCACAAAUGCGGGAAUCACUGAUAUAUCUUGGAUUAUCUGAGGAAAUAUUUAUCUGAGGAAAGAAACAUGAGAAGAAGGUGCCUAGGAGACUGCUCCACCAAGAAGAUAAGAAUCAAGCCCUUGGAUGACUGCUUUCCUGUAUGACAAGAAUGGUACCUCUAUUGCAGUGAUAUCCAACCAGCUGAGAAAGUGAAUUUAAUACGUCAUUACUUACUAAGCCUCUACAGGAUUUGGGUUUAGUAGGAAACAAACAGAUUCAAAAACAUUUGUUCAGUUUCAACUUCUCUUCUGUACUCAAAGCUUAGAAAGACUAAGCCAUACAGACUACUGAAGUACUAAAUUGUCUACUCUUUUUGACUGAUGGAACGUUAGAAGUCAGAAUUACUUUAAUCUUGUCAGUAAUUCUUCUGCACGCUCAAGAUAUAGGCUUAUUAAUGAAGACAUAAUGUAGAGCAUUUGAUAGCACUAUUUACAGACAGAAGCUCAUGUCUAUGAGUCAAGAUUUUUCUCAUAAAUAUAUCCACAGUUUUGCCUAAUCUCACUUAUUAGUGAGGCGAAUCAAUUUAGGAAGGCAUAGGGCACUACAGACAUCUCAGACAUUCCAGUUUAGUAAAGAUUAAAUGUUUUGGAGAGGUCAUCUUUCCAUCCACCUUCUCUGUGAUGAUUUUAAAUAUACAAUAGAGUUCAUAAUGAUCUACUAUUUAUCACUUAACAAUUAAUAUUUUCAAAUGUUCAAUACAGGCAUGGUUUUGCUCUAUUAUCUUACUGCUUAGAAGAUCUGUGGAACUUAACUGAAAAGUACAGGCAAUAUAAAUCAGUAUUUAAAUUAUAUAUUAUAUGUUUAUUAUGGGUGCAAAUUUUUAAAAUUUACAUUUUAUGAAAAUUCAGAGUAUUUACAAUUUUUGAAAGAUAAACUUGUAUGCUCUAAUUUACAGUCUAACGUAGUAACAAUUCAUAAAAAUUCAGAUCCUUUAGAGUUGUGUUUACAAAUUAAUUUCCUUAGGAGGCAGCUACAAGGGAUAUUGCUGUAUACACAAGCAAGAACCAGCUUGCUACAUACUUUUAAUUUUAUUUAGAAUCAGAUAGCUACAUGUACUUUUUACAUUGCUUUUGAAUUUCUUUACAAAAUGUCUAUAUAAACUUGUAUGGCUUUAAAAUUGUAACCUGCACCCAAUGCAAAUUUAUGAAAAACACCUGAAUGAAGGCUAGUUUAAAAGUGCUGAAACAUUAACUACUUCAUUUAAUUUAAAAAUUAAUGUAAUACUUGAUUAAAAAUAGCAAUAAUAGGUUUGGGUUUUCAUUAAUAAAAUAUUGUUGUGUUAAUCAGUUUGAUUGUAAAGCAGGUUACAAUUGAAAUUCCAACAAAAAGACUACCAGUUUAUGAGUUGUAAAUUUAUCAUCAAUAAGAUUAGCAAAAUAUAGGAGCCAAAUAUACUCUUCCAAUCAAAUCUACAGUACACUAUGUUCUUAGUACUAACAAUGAAAUUCUCACCAGCAAAAGUGUCUAGUGUACACAACAAUUUAUGCAGCUUCUACAAAGGCAUAAUUUCUUGUAAAGCUUCAGCAGUCCAAUUCAUUACUGGCUUUGCAUGAAUUAACUCAAGCAUGUUUUACUGUUUUAAUAGAGAAUUUGAAAUAGAUACUGGUAUGCUAAAUGUUCAUUUGAAAUUGUCACAUGCAGGUUAUUUAAUUAUUUUGCCCCAAUGCUUAGUUCAACAUUACAAAAAAACAACUUGGUAAUACAAA